UGUUGCUGUACACACUGAUCUGUCUUUAGAAUCCGUAAGCCUUAUUUGCAGAGCAAUGCUGGUAAAAGGGACAGUUUGAGCAGGGAUGGAAUGUGAGUGCUUUGAAUGAAGAAUGAAGAGGAGCACAUGACAAGGGCUACAGUGUUAAAUCCUCCUUGAACUCGUCUAAUUGAAACUUGUGUUAAUAAGAUUUGUCCAAACUGGGCAUUAAAGAGAGGUGAAAGUCUUCUUCUCACGAUGCUGGGGAUGACAUACUACUCGCUGCUUUGGUGACAACACAAGUCCUGCAUGGCCAA